rnacentral:rRNA from 1 species
AACCAGCAACUUGGAGGAAUGAAAAGCAAAGCUAACUGCAUUUAGAGUGUCCCUUUUUAUUUUAAAAGUUUGAAAGCCUUUUAAAGAGGAAGGGUCCAUUUUUUAUGUAGUUACUAUUUAUUAGUUUAAAAUUCUAGAUAGAAUUAUGAUGAUGACAUUAUCUAUCUAUUAGUCUUGACCAAAUUGCGUGCCAGCAGUCGCGGUAAUACGCAGAAGACAAGUGUUAUUCAUCUUUAUUGGGUUUAAAGGGUACCAAGACGGUUAAUAAAGCCUAAAUAUACAAUAUAACAGGGGACACAUUAACUAGAGUUAUAUGAAAGGAAGCUCUAAGGUACUACUGUGUGUAGAGAUAAAAUUCUGUAAUACCAGAUGAAGGCACAGAUUUAUGCGAAGGCAUCUUCUUAUGUAAUAACUGACGUUGUAGGACGAAGGCUUUUGUAGUGAAAAGGAUUAGAGACCCAAGUAAUCUAAGCAGAAAAUGAUGAAUGUCAUAGGUUUAAUAUAUUAUUGAGUCUAUAAAUGAAAGUGUAAGCAUUCCACCUCAAGAGUAAUUUGGCAACAUUGGAACUGAAAUCAUUAGACCGUUUCUGAAAUCAGUAGUGAAGUAUGUUGUUUAAUUAGAUAAUACACAAAAAACCUUACCACAAUUUGAAUAUAUAUCUUUAAAGAUAUUUACAAGCGUUGCACGGCUGUCUUCAGUUAAUGUCGUGAGAUUUUGGUUAGUUCCAAAAAAUUAACGUAAACCCUCGUUUUAUUUAUAAAUAAAAUUAAGAUCUAUUUCAAUAGAAUUGAGAUAAGCAAAGGGACUA